ensembl:misc_RNA Metazoa_SRP Metazoan signal recognition particle RNA
GCCAGGGAGAGUGGUGUGCGCCUGUAGUUCCAGCUACUUGGGAACCUGAGGUUCGAGGAUCACUUGAGCCCUGGAGUUCUGGGCUGCAGUGCAUUAGGCCAAUCAGGUGUUCGCACUAAGUUCAACAUCAAUAUGGUGACCUCCUGGAAGUGGGGGGCCACCAGAUUGCCUAAGGAGGGGUGAACUGGCCCAAGUCAGAAUCGGAGCAGGUAAAAACUCCUGUGCUAAUCAGUGGUGGGAUCAUGCCUGUGAAUAGCCACUGCACUUCAGCCUGGAUGACAUUAUCGAGACCCUG